CAUUUAAAAAGGAUACAUCAUUUAAAGGAUAAAUAUAAAAUAUGAACUUUAUAGUCCAAUGAAAUGAUGCUCAUCAAAAUUUUGAUGUUUCUUAAAUCUACACAAAGUGGCACAAAGGGAGCCCGGAGCAUAGCCAGGCAAGAGAAGGCUCCGAUUUGACUUGUAUGGGGAAAAAAGUCAUUUAACUAGUUAUAAUUAUAAAACAUAAACAAUCCACUGAAAUCUCUGAAAGUUGUCCUAACAGCGUGCAUCAAAUGGAGAAACAGGGGUACGAGACGGCCAAGAAGACAAGGCUGUCUGUCCCUGCAAUUCCUAGUCUCGGGCAACCAACAGUUUUACUCUGAAAGGAGCAGGCCACAGGCA
rnacentral:lncRNA from 1 species